rnacentral:tRNA from 1 species
GGGGAUAUACUUCAGUGGUAGAGUGCAUGCCUAGCAUGCAUGAGGUCCUGGGUUCUAUCCCCAGUACGUCCA